CAAGUAUUUAGCUAAACCCGUCGAGAGGCGGGGGCAGAAAGCCACGGGUCUUCAGAUAUAAGACAGCCGAGCUGCAAUG
rnacentral:ncRNA from 1 species